rnacentral:tRNA from 1 species
GCGGCAGUAGUAUAGUGGUUAGUAUGCGACGUUGCCAACGUUGCGACCAGGGUUCAAAUUGGUCUUAAGGUUCAUCGGCCUUAGACAAUGAAAGUCCCUGCUGCCGCA